GAUCAAGAACGUAGCGAAAUGCGAUAAGUAAUGUGAAUUGCAGAAUUCAGUGAAUCAUCGAAUCUUUGAACGCACAUUGCGCCCGCCAGCAUUCUGGCGGGCAUGCCUGUUCGAGCGUCAUUUCAACCCUCGAGCCCCCCCGGGGGCCUCGGUGUUGGGGGACGGCACACCAGCCGCCCCCGAAAUGCAGUGGCGACCCCGCCGCAGCCUCCCCUGCGUAGUAGCACACACCUCGCACCGGAGCGCGGAGGCGGUCACGCCGUAAAACGCCCAACUUUCUUAGAGUUGACCUCGGAUCAGGUAGGAAUACCCGCUGAACUUAAGCAUAUCAAUAAGCGGAGGA
rnacentral:misc_RNA from 1 species